GAAAUGCGAUAAGUAAUGUGAAUUGCAGAAUUCAGUGAAUCAUCGAGUCUUUGAACGCACAUUGCGCCCCCUGGUAUUCCGGGGGGCAUGCCUGUCCGAGCGUCAUUGCUGCCCUCAAGCACGGCUUGUGUGUUGGGCCCCGUCCCCGGGGGAGGGGACGGGCCCGAAAGGCAGCGGCGGCACCGCGUCCGAUCCUCGAGCGUAUGGGGCUUUGUCACCCGCUCUGUAGGCCCGGCCGGCGCCAGCCGACACCCAACUUUUAUUUCUAAGGUUGACCUCGGAUCAGGUAGGGAUACCCGCUGAACUUAA
rnacentral:misc_RNA from 1 species